rnacentral:pre_miRNA from 1 species
UUUAUAUGGGUCAAUAGGCCUCGGGUGUUUACCACUGUGGUGAUACGCAAGUUGGCGAUAUCACCGGGUGAAAAACUCCGGAGGCCUAGUCCUAUUUC